GCCGCGUGCAGGAAGACGGCCCUCAUGGGUUGUAAACUGCUUUUAUACGGGAAGAACCACAUCUACGUGUAGAUGCUUGACGGUACCGUAUGAAUAAGGACCGGCUAACUCCGUGCCAGCAGCCGCGGUAAUACGGAGGGUCCGAGCGUUAUCCGGAAUCAUUGGGUUUAAAGGGUCCGUAGGCGGGAUAAUAAGUCAGUGGUGAAAGUCUGCAGCUUAACUGUAGAAUUGCCAUUGAUACUGUUGUUCUUGAAUUAUUAUGAAGUGGUUGGAAUGAGUAGUGUAGCGGUGAAAUGCAUAGAUAUUACUCAGAACACCUAUUGCGAAGGCAGAUCACUAAUAAUAUAUUGACGCUGAUGGACGAAAGCGUANGUAGCGAACAGGAUUAGAUACCCUGGUAGUCUACGCCGUAAACGAUGGUUACUAGCUGUCCGGCCUAAUUGA
rnacentral:rRNA from 1 species